rnacentral:rRNA from 1 species
AAGGAAUAUUGGUCAAUGGACGCAAGUCUGAACCAGCCAUGCCGCGUGAAGGAUGAAGGUCCUCUGGAUUGUAAACUUCUUUUAUCUGGGACGAAAACGGGAUUUUUAUCUCAAUUGACGGUACCAGAGGAAUAAGCACCGGCUAACUCCGUGCCAGCAGCCGCGGUAAUACGGAGGGUGCGAGCGUUAUCCGGAUUUACUGGGUUUAAAGGGUGCGUAGGUGGGCUUAUAAGUCAGUGGUGAAAUCUCCGAGCUUAACUUGGAAACUGCCGUUGAUACUAUAGGUCGUGAAUUAUCUGGAGGUAAGCGGAAUAUGUCAUGUAGCGGUGAAAUGCUUAGAUAUGACAUAGAACACCAAUUGCGAAGGCAGCUUACUACAUAUAAAUUGACGCUGAGGCACGAAAGCGUGGGGAUCAAACA